GGUUGGAUGUGGAAGCAUAGUGAUAUGUGAAGCUGACCAAUACUAAUUGCUCGUGAGGCUUGACUAUACAACACCCAAGCAGUUG
rnacentral:rRNA from 1 species